GCCCUUUCUAAGGCUGGGAACAACUAGAGGCUACUGCCUGCAAUCAGCCUGUGUCUAACGAGGCCUAGAAUUAUGGCGUUUUGACCUAGGAAGGGCCCUCGGUGGGGAAAGGUGAAGUAUGAAAAACUGGCUUGCCUGGAGUCCCACAGCUCCAUUCCCCCAGCUCUGCUGACUCCAGCGCACAGCCCUUUCCAAAGGGGGAGUGUGCAAGUCUAUCUCAUGUGCUAUGAAUAAUUUGUGCCAGAAAACAUGGAUUUGGUAAAUCAGACCAAAACAAUGGUGGUUUUUAUAGCUGAAUAAAUGGGGGAGGGAGGACUGAUUUAUAAAAAUUCCCGUUUUCUUGAAGAUGAAUAAUUGAAAUAACAGUGGGCCAGUUCUACAGCAAAGAAUCUGAAAAGGGGAUGUCAUAAGGAGCCAGAAGCCAAAUAUAGAAAUAGAAUAUAGAAAACCAAAUCCACGACUCUCUGCUCUCAGCUUUGGUCACAGAAUCUGAAUCUUUGGUCACAGAGAAAUCUUUCUCAAGUUUCCUAUUAACAUUUAUAUGACAUAACAAGGCUUUUCUAAGGUAUUUUUAUAUAAUGCCACGGAUGGCAUUCCUCAAUUUGUAGGAUCUUGACUUUUCCAACAUAUCAACCCAAGUACAUUGCUCUGUCAACUAACUCUGUGUAUUUGAAUUGAACUCCAUUUCUAAUGGGUGCCUCUUGUCUCAUUUAAUCACCAGUUGGCCUAGGAAGUUUUUGGUAUCAUUGGCCAACUGGAAUCAAUCCUUUAAAUGGUAUUUUAACCAUGUGCAGGGAAAAUGUUAACUGCUGAAUUGAGGAUUCUGUAAUAUUCAGUAUUAUGAUCGAUUCAUGUGCCACUUGUGAAAUUGGCAUUUGGCAAUAUAUCAAAACUGAGCAGAGGUCUGGGAUUGUGGCUCAGCGGUAGAGCACUUGCUUAGCACGGGUGGGACCCGGGUUCGAUUCUCAGUACCACAUUAAAAAAAAAAAAGCAUUGUGUUGUGUCCAUCUACCCCCCCCCCAAAAAAGAUUCUCUUUAAAAAAAAUUAUAAAACUGAGCAGAGAAUUAUUCAGAGCUAAAUUUUCUUAGUUAUAAGCAUAGUUUUCAGGAAUUACUUUUAAAAAGUUUCCUACUGGGUGUAAAUCUUGUUUUAUGUUUCUGCUAAAUAUUUUUGACUUAUGGAAAAAUGAGCUUAGGAAACAAUGUUUGCUUGACUAUUUCUUCUUAAUGCCACUUAUACAAAUGCUCUGAUAUAGAAAACCAAAUCCACGACUCUCUGCUCUUGGCUUUGGUCACAGAAUCUGAAGGGGAGUUGUUGGGAUCAAGGAGUGAUCAUACUAGUUUACUCUUUGGAGGUUGUAACAGCAUUUUGUUUGAUUUAAAUAUUUAUGAAGUCCAGAUUUGUCCAAAGUGUCCAGGUGUUUCUUUGUGAUUAGCUUUUUGUUGUGUUGAUUCUAUAGAAAUGAAAUUUUUACUUGAAUAUGUGAUUCAAAGUAGUUGAGUAAAAUGCAAGAUUAGUUAAGUUGGAAAAGAGACUUUACACUUUUUGACUAAACAAUUUGUCUUCAUUUUUGUUAUGACCUCUUCAUUUCCAGAGAAG
rnacentral:lncRNA from 1 species